rnacentral:rRNA from 1 species
CGUAGGGUGCGAGCGUUGUCCGGAUUUAUUGGGCGUAAAGAGCUUGUAGGCGGUUUGUCACGUCGGGAGUGAAAACUCAGGGGCUUAACCCUGAGCCUGCUUCCGAUACGGGCGAGACUUGAGGAAGGUAGGGGAGAUCGGAAUUCCUGGUGGAGCGGUGGAAUGCGCAGAUAUCAGGAGGAACACCAGUGGCGAAGGCGGAUCUCUGGACCUUUCCUGACGCUGAGAAGCGAAAGCGUGGGGAGCAAACAGGCUU